rnacentral:lncRNA from 1 species
CCAUACCCCUUCCGUCGUCUCUUCCAUUUGCCCUACCAACAAACUAUAAUUCUGCUGCCACCAAACCCCACCACCCUAGGGUGGCGGUACCACUUCCAAUCACCGCCAAAUUUACACCCCCUAUUCUCCUCGAUCUCGUCUUUCCAUUUUCGCUAACAGUUUCCUUCGAAUCAAACUCAAAUGCUUCGAAUAUGCAUUUGAAGCUUGGGUCCAAAAUACAAAAUCAUCCAAAUAAGCCUAAGGUGACACCAUGCAGUCCCCUCGUCUUCCCCUUUACCAAUUUGCGGUCAGUUUCCGUCGAAGUUCACCAAGCUGUCUCGGAGUUUAAAUCUAGGGUUCACGCGGAUUCGAAUGGGUUUUCGGGAAUGUUUCAGGGUUGAUUGGUUUCCAUAAUUAGUAUCUUAGUAUAGUUUAUUUAAUAUUUUUCUUCGUUGUUGUUCCAUCUGUUUCAACCAGUAAAUUCGUACGUCCAGUUUUCUCAUGUGUUGUUUCUUUCGUUUUCAUGAGUGCUUAAUGGUGUUUUAUUAAUCCCACUCUAGUCCUCUAUUCUUUUGUGUUAUAUGUUUAGUUUAAUCAUGAUAUAAUUGUUCUUCACUUUUAGUUUGCUAAUGAUAAUUCAGUUUUAAUGUGUUUGUUGAUAAUUGGUCGUUAGUUAAUUGGGUUUUUCUUUGUUCUGUGGAUUUAAAAUUUGAUUUGAUUUCAUUUUAUCAGUUUGUUAAUUGUUCAGUUGCUUUUAGUGUUAAUUAGGAUAAUGUUAAUACAGGUGCAUUGGAUAUAGCUGAGAAGGUUUUAUAAAAUUAAGUAGUUAACUCUAGUCAAAUUCUAGCUAGGGUGAGGGGAUUAGGAUCAGCUAACCUUGGGCUGUAAUUUUCAGAUCAUUGGAGGGGCUUCCUAGGGAUAGAAAAGGGUAGAAUCUUAAGGAUUUGUAAUUUUAAAAACAGGGGAGGGGUAAUUUAGGGAUUGCUUAGCCAAAAGAGCAUCUUAGAUGAUUCUAGAAUAGGGUAAAAGUGUAGCUUUCAGAUUUUUAAUAGUACUUACUUGGGUAGCAAGUUAGAAAUGGUGGGACCAAAAUGAAAAUAAGUAGGGGCUGAUAGUGCAAACUAAAAUCUGAGUGCUGCCCUUAUUUUCCCCUAUAUAAGGGAAUUAAGUGCCUUGAGAAAGGGGUCUUCAAUCUUUAGCCCUAAAAAUUCACAUAGAAGCAUCUUUUCUCUUCAUUCUUAGCUUCAGUUUUUAGCCCUAAAAACUCCCAUAGAAAAUCAUUUUCCUUUAAUCUUAGCUUCAGAUUUAGCUCCAAAUUCAAAUCAAAAGUACAAAAAAAAGCAGAUAUCUCCAGAAAAACUAAAAAAUGAAGUAUCUACUGUUUUAUUGAAGUUUUCACUCAGUCAUUGGGUUUUUGUCCUUCAAAUUCUGUUUCACAUGCUUGAGUUCUAAAGAUAUUAGCCUGUUUCAAGUGGUUGGGUUUGCUCCUGCUGGUUUUGUGUCUUUUUCGUUGGAUUGUAAAGUUUCUGGGUUAAUAAUUUGAAUUCCUGGGCAUUACUAUCGCUGCUGAUUCAUUGGAGUGUAGUUGUUUCUAUUUCCUCAUCCUGUUGCUCUAUAACUGCUGUUGAUUCUCCUUUCUGUUAAAUUUCGUUUCCACGUACUAUUUUGAACCCAAUAUCAUGUAGUUGUGGGCAGGAAGCUGAAAUAAGAAGGGUCCUGAAUUUUAUGUGACUUAAAAUUUUUACUGUUGAUUGUUUCAUAGCUAUAUUAGUGUUGUAGUUUCAAUUGGCCUUAUAUGAACUUAUUUGUAGUGGUAUGGUUAUAAAAUCAGGAUGUUAAUGCCUUGCUAAGAAUUGGUUUGGACUGAAAUUAUUAUCGAGUAAUAGGGAUUGUAUUAACUGAACAUCUCUUUUGGUUUGUUUAAGCUUGAACUGUACAACUUUCAUGUGAACUUUUGUGCUUACUAUGGUUAGAUAAGGAUGGUAAAUCAUCAUGGUAAUCUAGUUUUCUCCUUGCUCAAUAGCUAGUUGCAAUAAGCAGGUGUUUUAGGAUGUAAUAUAGUCUGAUUCUCGAUCCCUUGUACCUAAUAACAGCUUUGUACUAGUUAAUUUCACACUCUUGAAUCACAAGCAUUUUGGUUUGAAAUCGGUAGCUGCGUGAAUUGUUUACUAAUGUGGAGUUGUUUGAUUUGGGUUAAUUAUUGGCAAAGGAUAACAUAAUUAGGGUGGCUGGUUUGUUCUCGUUGAAGUAAAAUUGAAUUGGACUAUCUGCCUUGUUGAUAUCAUU